rnacentral:rRNA from 1 species
AUUGAACGCUGGCGGCAGGCCUAACACAUGCAAGUCGAGCGAGCGGCGGACGGGUGAGUAAUGUCUGGGAAACUGCCUGAUGGAGGGGGAUAACUACUGGAAACGGUAGCUAAUACCGCAUACCAUCAGAUGUGCCCAGAUGGGAUUAGCUAGUAGGUGGGGUAACGGCUCACCUAGGCGACGAUCCCUAGCUGGUCUGAGAGGAUGACCAGCCACACGGGAACUGAGACACGGUCCUGACUCCGAGGUGAGGCAGCAGUGGGGAAUAUUGCACAAUUGGCGCAAGCCUGAUGCAGCCAUGCCGCGUGGGUGAAGAAGGCCUUCGGGUUGUAAAGCACUUUCAGCGGGGAGGCGGUACCCGCAGAAGAAGCACCGGCUAACUCCGUGCCAGCAGCCGCGGUAAUAC